UCGGUAAGGAAUUCCAACUCAAGUGACAUGUUUGGAAUUUUUUUUUUUUUUUAAACAUUGUUUGAGAAUAUAAAUUGCUUAAUAAGUAAAGGUAAAUUAGCCAGCAUUUUUUCCCAGACGAGGUCUUUAAACACAACGUGGCGUUUUAAUGUAAGGUGUGUGGCGUCAACUGUUUGUUUUCCUCAGGCUGCCGUGAUAAAGCCUACUGAAAGGAGGCAACAGCCAUAGUGACGGAGAGUAGCCCCAUUGGUUGCCAUGGCUCCCAGCAGCAAUCCAUCUCACUUUGUGCGGACUGAAGGGAAUAAAAAAAAAAGUACUCUGAUGCACCCUCUUCUUUGGAAAUGACCUUGGAAAUGGCUGUUCUAUGCAGAGCCAGUAACUCCAGCUGAGGAAUGGCUCUUCUCUCCAAACCAAGAUUUUCAGAGGUAUUG